CGGAUCGGUCCGUAAAUAAGGUGUAGAAGGAUCGAGUCCUUAGUACACGUGUCGCAUAACUAAUCGUCUCUCCUCUCUCCUCUCUCUCUCACCAAACUCAGCCGUAGAAGAAGAAGCCAUGGGAGAUAAGCUCUCUCUCUCUCUCUCCCCCUCCAUCACCCUUUUGAUUGGAGGAGAGAUGGAGACGAAUUCGAACAAACCGCCGUCGUUUCUCCCUAAACGCUCCCAAUCCGUCGACCGCCGUCGUCCCUCGCCUUCCCCAGCCACCGAAAUGUCCGCAGCCACGAAGAUGCUCAUCACCUCCACCAGGAGCCUCUCGGUUUCCUUCCAAGGUGAAGCCUUUUCCCUUCCCAGCAGCAAAAAGAAGGAAGCCACCGCCGCUCCUCCCGUUAUCUUCAGUGGUGGUUUGUCAAUGCGAGGACUGAGUAUACUUUAAUGGUGUGCAACGGCGUGAUCCGCGUGCAACGGCGCUAUUUGUAUUGUUCUGUUUGAUCGUUGCGGUUAUUCUGUAUGUGACACCGUUUCAGGUUGUGGCGCUUUUGGUUGGGAUCUAUAUUCUGAGACAUCCGAGGUUUAGGUACAGGCUGCCGUUAGUUCCUCUCAAUUUUUUCAGGAGGCUUCCUGCAAGAACUGAGUGCAUGCUCUGAGCACAAAGAACCGAUCAUCCCUUUUGGAAUUGUUAGUUUGUUUCUUGUUUUUUUUAAAGAUCAUGAUGACUCUUUUGCUUGUUGAUGAUUAUGAUGUCGUUUGGUUUUCAAACAUUAUCAGGACUUCUUGUUUCUUGUUUGAAAUUAGUAAAUUAGCAUCUGUGUGUGGCUUUGAUGUUCUUUUGUUCUGGUUGGUUAGUCCUCUAUGUUAUCGCAAGUCUGCUUCACUACUCAACCGGUAACAUCUCUCUGCUCUUUCUACAUUUUGUUACCAAAAGAUGAAACUUUUAGGCUUGGAUUUUGUUGGUAGUAGAUAUUUGCCAUUAGCUAAAGAUUCUAAUUAGAGUAACACCAUUGGACUUGAUCAUUUUGAUUAAGUCCUUAAUUAUUCAAAAAAACAAAAAAUAAAAAACAAAAAAAUUUAAUGAUAAACUAAUCCUAAGGACUCCACACCAUUAACUGAGCAUUUAACACCACUACAUCUCUGAGCUUUUCAUCAGACUAAAUUCUAUGAUCCCAUCUAUUUUAACAUUCUCGAGCUUUUGUUUAUGACUAUUGUUUCAUUUACAGGGUUUGAGAGGCUUCUCGCGCAUCCUAUAGCUUGGAUUGUGAUUGGCGUGUUAGUAUCGUUGGCGGAAUAAAAACCGAACAAAGAGACGCCCUCAUAAGAGAAACCCACGACCUUGCAAGAGAGGCAAGAGACGCCCUCGCAAGAGAAGCCGGAGAAUUAAAGUUAGAUAACUAAUUAUGGAUGUUUGUUAUUUUGAAACUCAAAAAAAAAAAAUUCCCUUAUAUAUAUUUUUCGUGUUUUUGUGAGGGAAAACGUAUAUAUUGAUGUUAUGGUUAACUUUGUUUUAUUUAUGAUAUUUUUACAGUAUCA